AUUUAAACUGCCACAUACACUCCUACGAACAAGAAACUCAUCCCAUUGAUCUUUAAUAAAAAUUUCACAUCUAACGACAAGCAUUAAAGUGUCCGUCAACACUGUAAUCUCGGUGCUAAGGCUGCACAUUAUUCCUCAACAUCCUUAGCAAGUAAAUUCAUUGUCAUUAUCCAUUGGUGGAAAGCGUUGAGCGAAGUAGGUAUCGAAGCAUGGAAAAUAUCCGUUUUAAUUGACAGUUGUUAUG